rnacentral:lncRNA from 1 species
UCCUUCCCCUCUCUCUCUCUCUCUCACUUUCUGUCUUUCUUCAGGUGGAGUCCCACUCUGUCACCCAGGCUGGAGUGCAAUUGCGUGAUCUUAGCUUACUGCAACCUCCAUCUCCCAGGUUCAAGCAAUUCCUGCCUCAGCUUCCUGAGUAGCUGGGUGUGGUGUCAUGCACCUGUAAUCCCAGCUAAUUUUUUGUAUAUUUAGUAGAGAUGGGUUUUCGCCAUGUUGACCAGGCUGGUCUCGAACUCCCGACCUCCGGUGAUCCACCUGUCUUGGCCUCCCAAAGUGCUGGGAUUACAGGCAUGAGCCACCAUGCCUGGCCUUUCCUUCUUUCUCUUUCUUUUCUUCCUUUCUCUUCUUUCUUUUCUUUUCUUUGAGACAGGAUUUUGUUCCCCAGGCUGGAGUGCAGUGGUGUAACCAUGGCUUGACCUAUUGGCUCUAGCAAUCCUCCUCCCAUCACAGCCUCCCAAGUAGCUGGGACCACAGGUGUAUGCCACCACACCCGGCUAAUUUUUUUAUUUUUGGAGACGAGGUCUCGCUAUGUUGCCCAGGCUGGUCUUGAACUCCUGGGCUCAAGUGAUCCACCUUCCUUGGCCUCCCAAUGUGCUGGGAUGACAGGCAUGAGCCACCAUGCCUGGCCAAGAGCAUUUUUCAAUAGCAGCAACAGCAGGUUGUGACACGCUAGUGUGCUGGAGAACCAUUCAGUGGGUCAAGUUUUUUUUUUUUUUUUUUGAGACAGAGUCUCGCUCUUUCGCCCAGGCUGGAGUGCAGUGGCACUAUCUCAGCUCAUUGCGAGCUCCGCCUCCCGGGUUCACACCAUUCUCCUGCCUCAGCCUCCUGAGUAGCUGGGACUACAGGCACCCG